rnacentral:rRNA from 1 species
UGCAGUCGAACGAUGAAGCCCUUCGGGGUGGAUUAGUGGCGAACGGGUGAGUAACACGUGGGCAAUCUGCCCUGCACUCUGGGACAAGCCCUGGAAACGGGGUCUAAUACCGGAUAUGACCAUCUUGGGCAUCCUUGAUGGUGUAAAGCUCCGGCGGUGCAGGAUGAGCCCGCGGCCUAUCAGCUUGUUGGUGAGGUAACGGCUCACCAAGGCGACGACGGGUAGCCGGCCUGAGAGGGCGACCGGCCACACUGGGACUGAGACACGGCCCAGACUCCUACGGGAGGCAGCAGUGGGGAAUAUUGCACAAUGGGCGAAAGCCUGAUGCAGCGACGCCGCGUGAGGGAUGACGGCCUUCGGGUUGUAAACCUCUUUCAGCAGGGAAGAAGCGAGAGUGACGGUACCUGCAGAAGAAGCGCCGGCUAACUACGUGCCAGCAGCCGCGGUAAUACGUAGGGCGCAAGCGUUGUCCGGAAUUAUUGGGCGUAAAGAGCUCGUAGGCGGCUUGUCACGUCGGUUGUGAAAGCCCGGGGCUUAACCCCGGGUCUGCAGUCGAUACGGGCAGGCUAGAGUUCGGUAGGGGAGAUCGGAAUUCCUGGUGUAGCGGUGAAAUGCGCAGAUAUCAGGAGGAACACCGGUGGCGAAGGCGGAUCUCUGGGCCGAUACUGACGCUGAGGAGCGAAGCU